rnacentral:rRNA from 1 species
CGUGCUAAUCUGCGAUAAGCGCCGGUAAGGUGAUAUGAACCGUUAUAACCGGCGAUACCCGAAUGGGGAAACCCAGUGUGAUUCGUCACACUAUCAUUAACUGAAUCCAUAGGUUAAUGAGGCGAACCGGGGGAACUGAAACAUCUAAGUACCCCGAGGAAAAGAAAUCAACCGAGAUUCCCCCAGUAGCGGCGAGCGAACGGGGAGGAGCCCAGAGCCUGAAUCAGCAUGUGUGUUAGUGGAAGCGUCUGGAAAGGCGCGCGAUACAGGGUGACAGCCCCGUACACAAAAGCGCAUGUGCUGUGAGCUCGA